rnacentral:rRNA from 1 species
UCUUCCGCAAUGGACGAAAGUCUGACGGAGCAACGCCGCGUGAGUGAUGAAGGUUUUCGGAUCGUAAAACUCUGUUAUUAGGGUAGAACAAAUGCGUAAGUAACUGUGCGCAUCUUGACGGUACCUAAUCAGAAAGCCACGGCUAACUACGUGCCAGCAGCCGCGGUAAUACGUAGGUCGCAAGCGUUAUUCGGAAUUAUUGGGUGUAAAGCGCGCGUAGGCGGUUUCUUAAGGCUGAUGUGAAAGCCCACGGAUCAACCGUGGAGGGUCAUUGGAAACUGGGAAACUUGAAUACAGAAGAGGAAAGUGGAAUUCCAUGUGUAGCGGUGAAAUGCGCAGAGAUAUGGAGGAACACCAGUGGCGAAGGCGACUUUCUGGUCUGUAACUGACGCUGAUGUGCGAAAGCGUGGGGAUCAAACAG